rnacentral:rRNA from 1 species
UGCAAGUCGAGCGGAUGAAAGGAGCUUGCUCCUGGAUUCAGCGGCGGACGGGUGAGUAAUGCCUAGGAAUCUGCCUGGUAGUGGGGGACAACGUUUCGAAAGGAACGCUAAUACCGCAUACGUCCUACGGGAGAAAGCAGGGGACCUUCGGGCCUUGCGCUAUCAGAUGAGCCUAGGUCGGAUUAGCUAGUUGGUGAGGUAAUGGCUCACCAAGGCGACGAUCCGUAACUGGUCUGAGAGGAUGAUCAGUCACACUGGAACUGAGACACGGUCCAGACUCCUACGGGAGGCAGCAGUGGGGAAUAUUGGACAAUGGGCGAAAGCCUGAUCCAGCCAUGCCGCGUGUGUGAAGAAGGUCUUCGGAUUGUAAAGCACUUUAAGUUGGGAGGAAGGGUUGUAGAUUAAUACUCUGCAAUUUUGACGUUACCGACAGAAUAAGCACCGGCUAACUCUGUGCCAGCAGCCGCGGUAAUACAGAGGGUGCAAGCGUUAAUCGGAAUUACUGGGCGUAAAGCGCGCGUAGGUGGUUUGUUAAGUUGGAUGUGAAAUCCCCGGGCUCAACCUGGGAACUGCAUCCAAAACUGGCAAGCUAGAGUAUGGUAGAGGGUGGUGGAAUUUCCUGUGUAGCGGUGAAAUGCGUAGAUAUAGGAAGGAACACCAGUGGCGAAGGCGACCACCUGGACUGAUACUGACACUGAGGUGCGAAAGCGUGGGGAGCAAACAGGAUUAGAUACCCUGGUAGUCCACGCCGUAAACGAUGUCAACUAGCCGUUGGGAGCCUUGAGCUCUUAGUGGCGCAGCUAACGCAUUAAGUUGACCGCCUGGGGAGUACGGCCGCAAGGUUAAAACUCAAAUGAAUUGACGGGGGCCCGCACAAGCGGUGGAGCAUGUGGUUUAAUUUCGAAGCAACGCGAAGAAUCCUUACCAGGCCUUGACAUCCCAAUGAACUUUCCAGAGAUGGGAUUGGUGCCUUUCGGAACAUUUGAGACAGGUGCUGCAUGGGCUGUCGUCAGCUC